AAAACUGGUGAUUGAAUCGAAUUUUUUUGUCAUCUAAUUGUCCUAUUUUUCACUAUUUUUGUUUUAAAUUUAACAGCUGGUUAAUAAGACGCGUCAUAACUGCCUCUAUAUAAUGUUUUUCAUUUUACUUUUAACUUUUUUGAUCUAAUAAUCCAUUAAGAUAACUUAAAAUUAAUUUAAUUUUAACUUAACGAUGACUUUUUUUGUCUUAACAUAAGCUAAUUUUUUAACGAAAUUAAGUGAUAUUGCGUUGAUUCUGACCUUUUUAGUUUCAAAUCGAUUUUAACUAAGCAAAAAAAAGUCAAAUUUAAAAGUGUUUAAUUUAAAAUUCAAUUUGUUAAACGUUAAAAUUUUUGGGAUGAUAUAGAAAGUCAGAAAUAUCUUGGACCAGCAGUUUCGCGUAUCUUAAUUUAAAAGAGAAAAAUAUUUUGACGUAGUAUAUUUAUGUUAUUUGAAAACUAUAAAUUGCUUUAGUUAUAAGUAAAUUUCUUGAAUGGAAAAUUUUCUAAAAGAUUCAAAAGUAAAUUUUUAAUUUUCAGUAUUUGGAAAAACAGUGAAAUUUUGAAGAAAAUAUUUUCCUAGAAUCAAGUAGCUUCUUCUUUAACAAAAGUAGAGACAGCAUACUUUAAAUUUUUUGGAGCUCAAAAGCUCUAGAAAUUGAAAACUCUGCUAAACCUAUAAAACAUUAACGAUGAAAAUAAUUUUAUUUUAGUCAAACUGUGGAGGGUGAACCGUCUCGUCCUGGGUACUUCGGAUUGCUCUGAAACUUGGCAAAUUUAUCAAACUCAUGAAAAAUAAUUUUUCUGCCAAAUUUUUAAGGGCAUUCAUCUGAUUUAUUGAGAUCAGAAUCAAACACAACUGUCAUAGAAUCAUAGUAUUGUAUGGAAGGCUUCAAGAUUUGAAUGAAAAGACAAAUACUUCGAUGUAUUACUGGCUUAGCUACAGUACUAUAGUGUACUAGGACCACGUAAUAAUUAGGUUUGUAAAGAUGUAAAAAAUGUUAAAAUUUAUUCAACUGACUUGUACUCACCAAAAUGAGUGUUUAUUUUUUUUUUUUUAUAAUUUACGAAUUCGUGGAAAAUUUGAUAAUAAGCUAGAAAUCUUAUAAGAUAUAAGUUAAACAGUAUUCAAAAAAUAUUAUAAAGAUUUAUUUUUCAAUAGAAA